rnacentral:ncRNA from 1 species
UGGUGCCUGACAUACAAAAUUGUAUGGGUCAGGAUAAUAGGGAAAUGAGUGCAAAUCUUAUACGGUCCCGCCGCUGUGUUGGCAGAGUUGUAUCUGUUUUAUGUCACUGUAUUUAAAAAUAUGGGAAGGCUUGAUACAAUGAUGACGCCUGAGUCAGAAGACCUGCCUUUUUGCUU